UUGCCAUCUGCGCAACUAAGAAGCUUUUUCUCUUGAGAAGAUUUCCGUGUAUACCUUCGUGCUUUAAAUGUGUGUAUGGCAAUUUUGUAUAGAUUGACGGAUGGAUGCCGCGAGCGUCUCCUUUAUGACGGGGUAGUAGCUGUCCUGAAUGUGGCUACUAAACAUAAGCCACUGAAACACUCCAGCGUACGUUACAUCAGCGCUAUAGAACAAGUUCGCAGUGGAACCUCGGCAACUCGUGAAGGCCGGAGACAAGUUGCAACAACUUCCAAGCUACGGAAGGGAAUGCCGACAUUCACACCACGGCAGUCUUCAAGCUGACGACGAACAUCACAGUUACGAAAAAGCGGAAAUUUUAUCCACAAAGUAACAGCUUCCCAGCAGAAAUACACGGGCCCAGUUAAGGCACU